AUCGAACGCUGGCGGCAUGCUUUACACAUGCAAGUCGGACGAGUGGCGAACGGGCGAGCAAUAUAGUGGCACGUAGCGAGUAUAGGGGGAUAACCAAUCGAAAGAUUGGCUAAUACCGCAUACUAUUCGAGCGGCCGAUGUCUGAUUAGGUAGUGGGUGGGGUAAAGGCAUACCAAGGCGACGAUGAGUAGCGGGUCUGCGAGGGUGAGCGGCCACACUGGGACUGAGACACGGCCCAGACUCCUACGGGAGGCAGCAGUGGGGAAUUUUGGGCAAUGGGCGCAAGCCUGACCCAGCCAUGCCGCGUGUCUGAAGAAGGCUUUCGGGUUGUAAAGCACUUUUGUUAGGGAAGCGGUAUCUAAAGAAUAAGCACCGGCUAACUACGUGCCAGCAGCCGCGGUAAUUC
rnacentral:rRNA from 1 species